GCUCUGCCCAAUGAAAUUUAAUGGCCGCAGUAUAAAUAACUGUGCAAAGGUAGCAUAAUCAAUAGUCUUUUAAUUAAAGACUUGUAUGAAAGAGUUGAUGAAAAAUAAACUGUUUCUAAAUAAAAAAUAAACUUUUAUUUUAAGUUAAAAUACUUAAAUAAUAUUAAAGGAAGAGAAGACCCUAUAGAAUUUUAUAAAAUAAAUUAUAUUAAAUUUUUAAAUUAUAAUUAAAUAUAAAUUUAAUUUAUUUAAUUGGGAUGAUUUUUAAAUUAUAUAAACUUUAAAGUAAAAAAUCAUUAAUUUAUGAUUAAAAAUAAUUUUUAUUAAAAAUUAAAAAUAAAUUACCUUAGGGAUAACAGCAUAAUAUUUUUAAAUAGCCCACAUUGAUAAAAAUGAUUAUGACCUCGAUGUUGAAUUAAGAUAAAAUUUAAAUGAAAAAAUUUAAAUUUAAAGCUGGUCCAAUUUUAAAAUCUU
rnacentral:rRNA from 1 species